UACAGAGGUCUCAAGCGUUGUUCGGAUUUAUUGGGCGUAAAGGGCGCGUAGGCGGCGGGGUAAGUCGGGUGUGAAAUCUCAGGGCUCAACCCUGAAACUGCACUUGAUACUGCUCUGCUUGAGGACUGGAGAGGAGACUGGAAUUCACGGUGUAGCAGUGAAAUGCGUAGAUAUCGGGAGGAACACCAAUGGCGAAGGCAGCUCGCUGGGACGUUACUGACGCUGAGACGCGAAAGCGUGGGGAGCAAACAGG
rnacentral:rRNA from 1 species